GUCUCUGUGGUGAAAUGGAUUAGGGCAUCUGGCUGUUAACCAGAAGGAUGGUGGUUCAAACCCACCCAGAGAUG
rnacentral:tRNA from 1 species